rnacentral:rRNA from 1 species
GACGAACGCUGGCGGCGUGCUUAACACAUGCAAGUCGAACGGAAAGGCCCUUCUGGGGGGGGAUGCUCGAGGGGCGAACGGGUGAGUAACACGUGAGUAACCUGCCCUUGACUUUGGGAUAACGUCAGGAAACUGGGGCUUAUACCGUAUAGGAUCGCCUGCUGCAUGGUGGGGGUGGGAAAGUUGCGGCGGUUGGGGAUGGACGCGCGGCUUAUCAGCUGGUUGGUGGGGUGGUGGCUUACCAAGGCUUUGGCGGGUAGCCGGCCUGGGAGGGUGCCCGGCCACAUUGGGACUGGGAUACGGCCCGGACUCCUCCGGGGGGCAGCAGUGGGGAAUAUGGAAAAAUGGGCGGAAGCCUGAUGAAGCAACGCCGCGUGCGGGAUGACGGCCUUCGGUUUGUAACCCGCUUUCGCCUGUACCGAAGCGUGAGUGACGGUAAUGGGUAAAGAAGCACCGGCUAACUACGUG